rnacentral:rRNA from 1 species
GACGAACGCUGGCGGCGUGCCUAAUACAUGCAAGUCGAACGCAGUGGCGGACGGGUGAGUAACGCGUAGGUAACUGCCUAUUAGAGGGGGAUAACUAUUGGAAACGAUAGCUAAUACCGCAUACUAGUAGAUGGACCUGCGUUGUAUUAUCUAGUAGGUAGGGUAAUGGUCUACCUAGGCGACGAUACAUAGCCGGCUGGGGCGGGUGAUCGGUGCGUCUGGGACUUAGACACGGCCCUGACUCCUACGGGGAGCAGCAGGAGGGAAGCUUCGGCAAUGGGGGGAACCCUGACCGAGCAACGCCGCGGUAGUGAAGAAGGUUUUCGGGUCGUAAAGCUCGGUUGUUAAGGAAGCGGUACUUAACCAGAAAGGGCCGGCUAACUACGUGCCAGCAGCCGCGGUAAUAC